AACUAUCAGUGGUGGAUCACUUGGCUCUUGCAUCGAUGAAGAACGUAGCGAAUUGCGAAAAUUGUCGUGACUUGCAUCACCGUGAAUCAUCUAGUUUUUGAACGCACUUUGCGGCUAGUACUUGUGCUAGCCAUGUCUGUGUGAGCGUCGGAA
rnacentral:rRNA from 1 species